rnacentral:rRNA from 1 species
CCAGACUCCUACGGGAGGCAGCAGUGGGGAAUAUUGCACAAUGGGGGAAACCCUGAUGCAGCGACGCCGCGUGAGCGAUGAAGUAUUUCGGUAUGUAAAGCUCUAUCAGCAGGGAAGAAAAUGACGGUACCUGACUAAGAAGCCCCGGCUAACUACGUGCCAGCAGCCGCGGUAAUACGUAGGGGGCAAGCGUUAUCCGGAUUUACUGGGUGUAAAGGGAGCGUAGACGGUCCUGCAAGCCAGAUGUGAAAGCCCGGGGCUCAACCCCGGGACUGCAUUUGGAACUGUAAGGCUAGAGUGUCGGAGAGGCAGGCGGAAUUCCUAGUGUAGCGGUGAAAUGCGUAGAUAUACGGAGGAACACCAGUGGCGAAGGCGGAUUGCUGGACAGUAACUGACGCUGAGGCGCGAAAGCGUGGGGAGCAACCAGGAUUAGAUACCCGCGUAUA